rnacentral:rRNA from 1 species
GAUGAACGCUGGCGGCGUGCCUAAUACAUGCAAGUCGAGCGAACAGACGAGGAGCUUGCUCCUCUGACGUUAGCGGCGGACGGGUGAGUAACACGUGGAUAACCUACCUAUAAGACUGGGAUAACUUCGGGAAACCGGAGCUAAUACCGGAUAAUAUAUUGAACCGCAUGGUUCAAUAGUGAAAGACGGUUUUGCUGUCACUUAUAGAUGGAUCCGCGCCGCAUUAGCUAGUUGGUAAGGUAACGGCUUACCAAGGCAACGAUGCGUAGCCGACCUGAGAGGGUGGUCGGCCACACGGGAACGGAGACACCGUCCAGGCUCCUACGGGAGGCAGCAGUAGGGAAUCUGACGCAAUGGGCGAAAGCCUGACGGAGCAACGCCGCGUGAGUGAUGAAGGUCUUCGGAUCGUAAAACUCUGUUAUUAGGGAAGAACAAAUGUGUAAGGAACUAUGCACGUCUUGACGGUACCUAAUCAGAAAGCCACGGCUAACUACGUG